AAAUAAUUUCCCGUAUCGGUUUACAACUGACGGAGUUAUAAAGUAAUAAUCAUUAAAAAAAAACAUACAACCGAAUUAAAAACCUUCUUUUUAAAAUCGAUUCAAUACUAAAAUUACUCACAGAAUUGUAGACGCAAAUGUUCCCAUUUCUCUAAACGAUGUGUCAAUUUACUUUCCUACUUUAUAUCAUCGUUGUCCUAAACACUGCCGUAAAAUAACACUCGAAAAUCCAUUUGCCCCCUACCUCUGAUACUUGACGUCGAGGAGCUUCGAAAAACCAUCCCUUCCUGGUUAUUAUUAGGUCUCGCAGACCUUGUUAGCCCGGAACGAGGGGUAAGCAAAUCUGAGGAGCAGGGAGGGGUAGUGAAGGGUGCGGCGGGGUAGUGAUGUAGGCCUGUCGUCGGUCGGUGGCACUCCGCAACGCGCAGCUGGCUCGUGGCCCACACGCUCCCGCGCUCUGCAAAUGAUGGCGUCCGUUGGAAUAUAUAAGUUGCUAUGGACAAUAAGGAUCAAGAUCAAUUUUACACCUUGUAUUAACUGGGUCUCCAUGGCUGCAUUAUUAAAGAUGCAUCAUAACGGUAGUCAUAUGAGAAGAAUACUUUCAAGAGGAGACUAAUUUAUGAAAAGAACAUCAUCACCUUAAUAUACCAUCUUAAAAUG